AAGAGGUGGAGGACCCUUUUCAGCUGGUGGACCUGGAAAGGGGACGUAUUCACGCCUAUUUGUAAUCUAAGUAUGCUGAUAUGAUGAGCAGAUCUUCGUGUUUUUAAUGAGUAUCCACAAUUUCAGUCAAUUUCUGCAUUCAGCAGCAUCUACAAAAAUACUGGCAUAUUUGGCAUCCAAGCUACCACGGUGAACCAUCUAUUUUCACCUUUUAUUAAU